CCUACGGGCGGCAGCAGUGGGGAAUAUUGGGCAAUGGGCGCAAGCCUGACCCAGCGACGCCGCGUGAGUGAAGAAGUCUUUCGGGUUGUAAACUUCUUUUAGCAGGGACGAAACAAGUGACGGUACCUGAGGAAUAAGCCCCGGCUAACUACGUGCCAGCAGCCGCGGUAAUACGUAGGUGGCAAGCGUUAUCCGGAUUUACUGGGUGUAAAGGGCGUGUAGGCGGGACUGCAAGUCAGAUGUGAAAGCCACGGGCGCAACCUGCGGCCUGCAUUUGAAACUGUAUGGCUGGAGUGCUGGAGAGGCAGAUGGAAUUCCUAGUGUAGCGGUGAAAUGCGUAGAUAUUAGGAGGAACACCAGUGGCGAAGGCGGUCUGCUGGACAGCAACUGACGCUGAGGCGCGAAAGCGUGGGGAGCAAACAGGAUUAGAUACCCCAGUAGUC
rnacentral:rRNA from 1 species